GUGGGGAAUAUUGGACAAUGGGGGGAACCCUGAUCCAGCCAUGCCGCGUGUGUGAAGAAGGCCUUUUGGUUGUAAAGCACUUUAAGCGAGGAGGAGGCUACCGAGAUUAAUACUCUUGGAUAGUGGACGUUACUCGCAGAAUAAGCACCGGCUAACUCUGUGCCAGCAGCCGCGGUAAUACAGAGGGUGCAAGCGUUAAUCGGAUUUACUGGGCGUAAAGCGCGCGUAGGUGGCCAAUUAAGUCAAAUGUGAAAUCGCCGAGCUUAACUUGGGAAUUGCAUGCGAUACUGGUUGGCUAGAGUAUGGGAGAGGAUGGUAGAAUUCCAGGUGUAGCGGUGAAAUGCGUAGUGAUCUGGAGGAAUACCGAUGGCGAAGGCAGCCAUCUGGCCUAAUACUGACCCUGAGGUGCGAAAGCAUGGGGAGCAAACAGGAUUAGAAACCCUAGUAGUCC
rnacentral:rRNA from 1 species